rnacentral:rRNA from 1 species
UACGGGGGGUACUAGCGUUGAUCGGAUUGACUGGGCGUAAAGGGUGCGUAGGCGGCUUGAAAAGUCUGACGUGAAAUCCCGUGGCUUAACCACGGAACUGCGGCGGAAACUUUCAGGCUAGAGGGUGGUAGGGGAAAGCGGAAUUCUGCAUGUAGCGGUGAAAUGCGUAGAUAUGCAGAGGAACACCGGUGGCGAAGGCGGCUUUCUGUCCCACUCCUGACGCUGAGGCACGAAAGCGUGGGGAUCAAACAGG